rnacentral:sRNA from 1 species
CAGCUACUCGGGAGGCUGAGGCAGGAGAAUGGUGUGAACCAGGGAGGCAGAGCUUGCAGUGAGAAGUUCUAAAAUAGAUGACAACUACUUGAAGGAAUUGAAUGAGGACUUAAAGCUAAGGAAGCAGGAACUGCUAGAGAUGCUCAAACCUCUAGAAGAUAAAAACAACCUCUUAUUUCAAAAGUUAAUGUCUAACUUGGAGGAAAAACAAAGGAGUCUUCAGAUCAUGAGACAGAUCAUGGCAGGGAAGGGGUGUGAGGAAUCCUCGGUCAUGGAGCUCCUUAAGGAAGCAGAGGAGAUGAAACAGAACUUGACAUUCGAGGCAGAAGAACUUAGUGAUCAACAAAAAGCACCACAGACAAAAAACAAGGCAGACUUGCAGGAUGGAAAGGAAAAGCAACAGAGGAAAAUGGAAUGGGUCAAGUAUCAGGAACAAAACAACAUCCUUCAGAAUGAUUUUCAUGGCAAAGUGAUUGAGCUGAGAAUUGAAGCCUUGAAGAACUACCAGAAGGCCAAUGACCUGAAAUUAUCACUGUAUUUGCAGCCGAAUUUUGAGCCAAUGCAAGCAUUUUUAAAUCUUCCUGGGUCCCAAGCAUUUCCUUGAGCUCUUCUGAGAAAAACCUGAACGUUGGAUGUACUAUGGGCAUUACAACUAUGGACAGAAUGACUACUGGCAGAAAUGAACACCAUGUGAGAAUUCUGGGAGCAAAGAUCUACACAAAACAACAAGGAAGUAAAGGAAGUCAGCUUGAUAAUACAGGAGGGAGGCUCUUUUUUCUGAGGUCAUUGCCAGAUGAAGCACUGAAGAAUUAGCAGGCUUUCGCUCCAUUUGCUUUGGACAGAUUUAAAGACUAGGCACAGCCAUUUGUGUUAAUUAAAAUCUCUCGCACCUUUUUUUAGUGCUGUUUUCCCUCUCUCCCCCCACCAAUCUGGGUGGAAAUGUUGGAUGUUUGGCCUUAAACAUGUGUGGAAUGUAGUCAUUUAGGGAUUGUAAACAACCUCUGAUUAUUUUGAUAG